GGGUUGUGAGGUUAAGCGACUAAGCGUACACGGUGGAUGCCCUGGCAGUCAGAGGCGAUGAAGGACGUGCUAAUCUGCGAUAAGCGCCGGUAAGGUGAUAUGAACCGUUAUAACCGGCGAUUUCCGAAUGGGGAAACCCAGUGUGACUCGUCACACUAUCAUUAACUGAAUCCAUAGGUUAAUGAGGCGAACCGGGGGAACUGAAACAUCUAAGUACCCCGAGGAAAAGAAAUCAACCGAGAUUCCCCCAGUAGCGGCGAGCGAACGGGGAGGAGCCCAGAGCCUGAAUCAGCAUGUGUGUUAGUGGAAGCGUCUGGAAAGGCGCGCGAUACAGGGUGACAGCCCCGUACACAAAAGCGCAUGUGCUGUGAG
rnacentral:rRNA from 3 species